GACGAACGCUGGCGGCGUGCCUAAUACAUGCAAGUCGAACGAGAGCGACCGGUGCUUGCACUGGUCAAUCUAGUGGCGAACGGGUGAGUAACACGUGGGUAACCUGCCCAUCAGAGGGGGAUAACAUCCGGAAACGGAUGCUAAAACCGCAUAGGUCUUCGAGCCGCAUGGCUUGAAGAGGAAAAGAGGCGCAAGCUUCUGCUGAUGGAUGGACCCGCGGUGCAUUAGCUAGUUGGUGAGGUAACGGCUCACCAAGGCCGGGAUGCAUAGCCGACCUGAGAGGGUGAUCGGCCACAUUGGGACUGAGACACGGCCCAAACUCCUACGGGAGGCAGCAGUAGGGAAUCUUCCGCAAUGGACGCAAGUCUGACGGAGCAACGCCGCGUGAGUGAAGAAGGUUUUCGGAUCGUAAAACUCUGUUGUUAGAGAAGAACAAGUGCUAGAGUAACUGUUAGCGCCUUGACGGUAUCUAACCAGAAAGCCACGGCUAACUACGUG
rnacentral:rRNA from 1 species